rnacentral:rRNA from 1 species
UACGAAGGGGGCUAGCGUUGUUCGGAAUUACUGGGCGUAAAGCGCACGUAGGCGGAUCGAUCAGUCAGGGGUGAAAUCCCAGGGCUCAACCCUGGAACUGCCUUUGAUACUGUCGAUCUGGAGUAUGGAAGAGGUGAGUGGAAUUCCGAGUGUAGAGGUGAAAUUCGUAGAUAUUCGGAGGAACACCAGUGGCGAAGGCGGCUCACUGG